GAUGAAGAACGCAGCGAAAUGCGAUAAGUAAUGUGAAUUGCAGAAUUCAGUGAAUCAUCGAAUCUUUGAACGCACAUUGCGCCCGCCAGUAUUCUGGCGGGCAUGCCUGUUCGAGCGUCAUUUCAACCAUCAAGCCCCCGGCUUGUGUUGGGGACCUGCGGCUGCCGCAGGCCCUGAAAACCAGUGGCGGGCUCGCUAGUCACUCCGAGCGUAGUAAUACAUCUCGCUCAGGGCGUGCUGCGGGUUCCGGCCGUUAAAAAGCCUUAUUUACCCAAGGUUGACCUCGGAUCAGGUAGGAAGACCCGCUGAACUUAAGCAUAUCAAUAAGCGGUGA
rnacentral:misc_RNA from 1 species